rnacentral:lncRNA from 1 species
CGGCUUCAUGGUCCUCGCCAACUACAUCGGCGCCCUCGGCAAGCCCCAGAACACCCGCCCCGAGAAGAUCGCCAUGACCGCCCCUGUGGUCACCACCGCCGCAGAUGCCUCGGAGAAGAUCGCCAUGACGGCGCCGGUGAUCACCACCACCGGCGGUGCCGGAGACGCCUCGGAGAAGAUCGCCAUGACGGCGCCGGUGAUCACCACCACCGGCGGUGCCGGAGACGCCUCGGAGAAGAUCGCCAUGACGGCGCCGGUGAUCACCGCCACCGGUGGUGCCGGGGACGCCUCCGGGACGGCCGCUGCGGCGGGAAGCGGCACGGUGACGAUGCAGUUCUUGCUGCCGUCCAAGUACACGAGCGCGGAGGAGGCGCCGACGCCGGCGGACGAGAGGGUCGUGAUCAGGGAGGAGGGCGAGAGG